rnacentral:rRNA from 1 species
CCUACGGGUGGCAGCAGUGAGGAAUAUUGGUCAAUGGGCGGGAGCCUGAACCAGCCAAGUCGCGUGAGGGAAGACGGUCCUACGGAUUGUAAACCUCAUUUGCCGGGGAGCAACGGGGGCCGUGCGAGGGCCCAAUGAGAGUACCCGGAGAAAAAGCAGCGGCCAACCAGGUGCCAGCAGCCGCGGUAAUACGGAGGAUGCGAGCGUUAGCCGGAUUGAUGGGGGUGAAAGGGUGCGUAGGCGGGCUGUGAAGUCAGCGGUCCAAUGUCGGGGCUCACCCCGGGCCUGCCGUUGAAACUGGCGGCCUCGAGUGGGCGAGAAGUAUGCGGACUGCGUGGUGUAGCGG